CUCACCACAGUGACAUUCUUCUACUUUUUACCUAUUCCUCCAUCAUUGAGACUUCAGUGCAACAGACCUGGCUACAACCUAGCCCAGAAGGUAAAUGAAUGGGUUUUAGCUUUUUGAGAAACAACCAAAAAUUGAGAGAUAUUCUGGCCCUGCUUUUAUUGAAUAAUAUCCACAUACUUCUAUGCCUAAUCAACAUAUGUGUAUAUUUUUUGUCUUAAACAAUAAUAUUAUUAUUGAUACUUAAGACCUGUUAUGAUGACUUCUCGGUUGGGACCACAAAGCACACCUAAAGCCAAGGCCUGUGUUUAAAACCCACAAUCUUAGUGUUCAAUAAGAUCACACACACACAUACACACACACAAACACACACUCCAGUCCAUUCUCACAUGAUUCUAACUGGUUAUAAAAGAUUCACCCUCCAGACAUUAGCCAUGAUCCAAGAUGAUAAUCUUGACACACCGUGUCUCCAUUUUCAUGAGGAACAUAAAGCUUUAGAAGGCAGUUGUCAUUGUAAUCAUCAAGCAUUUACGAGCAUGUGCCAGGAACAAAAACUAGAGACACUUGAGAAGCUUCAAACCUGAUUGACGUACAUAGGACACACACAGAAAGGAAAAAACAAAGCCCGGAGGUAAAGAUGCACAGGAUUCUAGAGCUAUGGGGGUCCACAGUGGGCAUUCCUUUGGUCCUUUCAGACUUUCCUUUCUACAGUCAUGAGUUUUAAAAUAUCACUUUUAUUUCAAAAUCCAGAUUAUUUAUUCAAAAUCCUUUUCUCAAGGCUUUCCCAGAUCAAUGUCAUUUCCACCAAAUCAGAGUAAUUUCUCAGCUCUUUCAACCCCAUCAGCAGUUUACCUGUUUCUUUCUCAGGAUACUUUCUACCUCAUAUCAAUCAUUUAUGUAUGUCUUAUUUCCAAGAUUUGAUUAGAAACCUCUGGUGUACAGAAUCUAUGUAUCUGUGAAUCUCAACAUUACCUAGCACAGAGUCUUGACCAUCACAGGUAAUCAAUAGUUGAGGGUUUGAUUUCUUAUUAUAACCUACUCAUUUGACACUUUGAAGGAACUAAGAACUGGAGACACCAUUGAGAAUCUUGUCAGUGAGUCAAACCAAUAGGGCUGACGUUCAACCAGGAUGCUACAGUAUGACCUUCCAGGGUGCCAAACUACACAUCCAUGUCAGUUGUUACUUCGUUGAGAGUGAGCCAAAAGCAGAUGUACUGGUGGAAUUUAGAAGACCUGUGCUACUCCCAGUUUCCUCAACAGGCAUUUCCACAUUAUUGGAAACUUCAGCAGAGGGGCCAGAGAUGGCACAAGUUGGAACCGAAUCUGGCAAAAGAAGAGAUAAAGCAAAUGAUAAGUGCCUGGGAAACUUAGAAUUCUUGAGACUCCAAACUGGAAAUACUCAGCGGCUUUUAAAAUGUUUAGCUAAAUCAUAGUAAAAUUAAAAUAGCAAUAAUAAUAUAACAAUAAUAGCUAGAAUUUAUUGAGUACUUACUAUGUACCAGAUACUGUGAUGUCUUAUCAAUAUAAUUUCAUUUAAUUCUAAUAACUAGCCUAUGAAUUAAGUAUUAUUAGAAACAUUUAAUAGAUGAGGAAAGUGGGGCAUAGAGUGGUGAGGC
rnacentral:lncRNA from 10 species